UCCCGCUGAAGCCCCGGUUUUCGUGCGACCACCGAAGUUAAGCAACGUCGCGCCUGGUCAGUACCUAGAUGGGUAACCACUUGAGAAUAUCAGGUGCCAUA